rnacentral:rRNA from 1 species
UACGGAGGGGGCUAGCGUUGUUCGGAAUUACUGGGCGUAAAGCGCACGUAGGCGGCUUUGUAAGUUAGAGGUGAAAGCCCGGGGCUCAACUCCGGAACUGCCUUUAAGACUGCAUCGCUUGAAUUGUGGAGAGGUAAGUGGAAUUCCGAGUGUAGAGGUGAAAUUCGUAGAUAUUCGGAAGAACACCAGUGGAGAAGGCGACUUACUGGACACAUAUUGACGCUGAGGUGCGAAAGCGUGGGGAGCAAACAGG